GCGAGAAUGGCGGAACUGGCAGACGCACUAGACUUAGGAUCUAGCGCCUUUGGCGUGGGGGUUCGACUCCCCCUUCUCGCACCA
rnacentral:tRNA from 1 species